rfam:Lactobacillus frumenti DSM 13145 NODE_25, whole genome shotgun sequence.
CAACAACUACAACCGCACGCUGCCAAGUUCAAAGUAUUUAAUACUGCUUGGUUCGGCGAGUCUUAGAUAUUAA